UAUUACAUAUGCCUCUUUAGCUUCCUUUGUUUAGUUUUGCGAUGAACAUGUAGCGGAAUCAAACUUUUUUAUGAGAGCGGUUGUAGCUUGAUGGGUAGAUUUUGCCGUCGAGGAAGAAGUGAUGCAUAAAAGAAGAUAUUCAGACGACAGAAAUCCAAAUUUCAUGGUCAGAGAAAUUGCAUUUACUCUGUCAAUCAAAAAUGGAAACACUCAGAUUCACGGGAUUCUAAAUACUGUUUCUAAGAGAGAUGGGGUGAUGAAGGAGCAGGUCGAAAUUCAAGCCUCUCCAUCUCUUUCUCUCGGGUUGAAGAGUCGGGAGACUCUUUACUUAACAAUUCGACACGAAGAGUCGGGAGGAAAAUGCGCGCACCUGAUGAAGGAGCCAGAUGAAAGCUAUCAGAGAGAUGGAGAAGAAGGAAACAAUUCAUUGUUGAAUCCGGAUAUGCUUGCCGCAGAUGAUGACGUCGUUAAGAGCUUGAUGAGAUAAAGAGGGGAUUGAAAGAGAUAGAGGAAGAAGCUGCUGCCCUGCACGAUAUGCAAGCCAAAGCCGAAAAAUAAAUGGGAGCUAGUCAAGAUCAGACUUUCUUGAUCUUCUCCAUCAAGCUCCAGGCAACUAAUUGCAGACUUCUGUGCAUAGUCUCUGUCCUUCAGCUUAUAGGACUCGGCCUUUGGGGUAGAUGUGUUCAAGAGAAUACUCUCAGUGGUCAUCCAUCCAAUGUAGAAGUAGAUAGAAUUUGUUUUCAAAUUGAUUUUAUACAUACUUUUUGUCAAAUAAUUUUGUUUUAUAAUAUAUACUACAGUCUUAAAACUGAAUAAUUACUUGUACCAUACAUGUUUUUGUAAACAUAUGUUAGAUACUACAUCACUAAAUUUACAACUAAAUUUAUUUAAUUAUUAUCGAAUGUAUACCGGGCUACGCCCGGAUUAUCC